rnacentral:rRNA from 1 species
AUGGAUUUGUUCAUACCAACCAUCGACAGCGAGCACGGCAUAUGUUACACCCAACCUGAGAAACUUCCAGCUAUCACACUGAGUGGCCUAAGGAAGCAUUUCUUCCAGCGCAAUUCCAGGGCGUUCAAAAGGGGCGUGUGGACGCGUCGCAAGAUACAGUCGGAGUGCGGCAUGCACGCGAUGUGGCACAAGACCGGCAAUACCUUGCCGGUGAUGGUCAACGGCCGGCAGACGGACAGCAAAAAAGGUUCUGGUGCUGCAGACCAACAAGAACUUCGACCAGCAGAGGACCAACUGGGUGAUGCACCAGUACCACCUCGGGGACCUGGAGCAAGAGAAGGAGUGGGAGCUGUUCCUCUACAAGAAUUUCUACCAGACGAACACUAG